CAUCAUAGACAUAAAGUGCUUUAUGUCUAUGGUUUCCAUUCAAGAAGAAUUGAUCUGGUUGAUCUCGAAGAAGCUUCUUUUGUGGUGGUAACAGCGGUAACAGUUUAUUCAUAAAGAACGUUGUAGGAAUGCCAAAUAUACGUCAAAACUUCCGUCAAUUGUUAACGAAUAAAAUCAAAAAAGAGACAAUUUUUAAUUCUGCAUUUCGAAGAUGAUUAAGAAUAUACAAUAAGAUGUCGACAUGGAUGAGUUAUUGCAUUAUUAAAAUGGGCCUUUUUGGAAGAAUCAGACUGUCGCUUAAAAAUCGACGAUUUUUUUUAAUCAAAUAAAUAUAAUAAAUAAUCUGACUGGGAAAUAACUGAAAUAAUCUGACCCCACAAAGGAAUGGGGCUAGAAGCAUCAGAAGAAGUUUUCAUAACAAAUAUUACACAUUAUAACAUUGUGAUCUCUACAUAUAAAUUGUUUACAGUUUUUCUGAACACCUCUCAGUAGUUUUUCUAUCUGGUGUCCUAAUGUUUGUAUUGUACUUCUUCUUUUCAUGUGUUGUUUAGGAGAAUAAAAGCUACAGUUCUUAUAAAGUGUCA